UACGUAGGGGGCGAGCGUUGUCCGGAGUUACUGGGCGUAAAGCGCACGCAGGCGGUCUGCUAAGUUUGGAGUGACAGUUGGUGGCUUAACUGCCAAAGUGCUUCGAAAACUGACAGACUUGGGGGCUUCAGAGGGACACGGAAUUCCGGGUGGAGUGGUGAAAUGCGUAGAGAUCCGGAGGAACACCAAAGGCGAAGGCAGUGUCCUGGGGAGUACCUGACGCUCAGGUGCGAAAGCCAGGGGAGCGAACGGG
rnacentral:rRNA from 1 species